GACGAACGCUGGCGGCGUGCUUAACACAUGCAAGUCGAACGGAAAGGCCCUGCUUUUGUGGGGUGCUCGAGUGGCGAACAGGUGAGUAACACGUGAGUAACCUGCCCUUGACUUUGGGAUAACUUCAGGAAACUGGGGCUAAUACCGGAUAGGAGCUCCUGCUGCAUGGUGGGGUUGGAAAGUUUCGGCGGUUGGGGAUGGACUCGCGGCUUAUCAGCUUGUUGGUGGGGUAGUGGCUUACCAAGGCUUUGACGGGUAGCCGGCCUGAGAGGGUGACCGGCCACAUUGGGACUGAGAUACGGCCCAGACUCCUACGGGAGGCAGCAGUGGGGAAUAUUGCACAAUGGGCGGAAGCCUGAUGCAGCAACGCCGCGUGCGGGAUGACGGCCUUCGGGUUGUAAACCGCUUUCGCCUGUGACGAAGCGUGAGUGACGGUAAUGGGUAAAGAAGCACCGGCUAACUACGUGCCAGCAGCCGCGGUGAUACGUAGGGUGCGAGCGUUGUCCGGAUUUAUUGGGCGUAAAGGGCUCGUAGGUGGUUGAUCGCGUCGGAAGUGUAAUCUUGGGGCUUAACCCUGAGCGUGCUUUCGAUACGGGUUGACUUGAGGAAGGUAGGGGAGAAUGGAAUUCCUGGUGGAGCGGUGGAAUGCGCAGAUAUCAGGAGGAACACCAGUGGCGAAGGCGGUUCUCUGGGCCUUUCCUGACGCUGAGGAGCGAAAGCGUGGGGAGCGAACAGGCUUAGAUACCCUGGUAGUCCACGCUGUAAACGGUGGGUACUAGGUGCGGGGUCCAUUCCACGGGUUCCGUGCCGUAGCUAACGCUUUAAGUACCCCGCCUGGGGAGUACGGCCGCAAGGCUAAAACUCAAAGGAAUUGACGGGGCCCCGCACAAGCGGCGGAGCAUGCGGAUUAAUUCGAUGCAACGCGUAGAACCUUACCUGGGUUUGACAUGGAUCGGGAGUGCUCAGAGAUGGGUGUGCCUCUUUUGGGGUCGGUUCACAGGUGGUGCAUGGCUGUCGUCAGCUCGUGUCGUGAGAUGUUGGGUUAAGUCCCGCAACGAGCGCAACCCUUGUUCACUGUUGCCAGCACGUUAUGGUGGGGACUCAGUGGAGACCGCCGGGGUCAACUCGGAGGAAGGUGGGGAUGACGUCAAGUCAUCAUGCCCCUUAUGUCCAGGGCUUCACGCAUGCUACAAUGGCUGGUACAGAGAGUGGCGAGCCUGUGAGGGUGAGCGAAUCUCGGAAAGCCGGUCUCAGUUCGGAUUGGGGUCUGCAACUCGACCUCAUGAAGUCGGAGUCGCUAGUAAUCGCAGAUCAGCAACGCUGCGGUGAAUACGUUCCCGGG
rnacentral:rRNA from 1 species